UUGUAUUAUACUAUAAUUGUCGACGUAUGAACCCAUGAAGCUGCUUUCACACCGCAGACAAUGUUUUUUCAGAAGCAAAAAAGCAACUACCUUUGGCUUUAUUAAAACUUUUUUGACCAAAACACACAGGUCUUGUAAGUUAUUAAUAUCACUAUGUAACAAAUAAACGUGUUGUUGAUACACAAUGAAUCAAUAAUAGUUAAGCUGAGACUUUUUUAAAGAGUAAGCUCAUAGGUCUAUUGAAAAUAUUUAUUCUUUUGAAGAAUUGCAAAAGCUAACCUAGUUAGGACAAUGCCUAAAACACGGAUUUGGAAAUAACAAGGAAGAUCAUGAGUGACAUAAUCCAUUUCAACCAAAUUAUUAGAAGAAAUCAUAGAUUGACCUUUUCAUAGCUAAUAAUUGGUGGUUUGUUUGCUUUGCGAAGUUGUGGAGUAGGUAAGGCAUAUAUAGCCCAUGCGACUCCUUAGCAAGACACCAUUCACACAUUACAAUCAAAAGCUG